rnacentral:rRNA from 1 species
UAUUGGACAAUGGGCGAAAGCCUGAUCCAGCAAUGCCGCGUGUGUGAAGAAGGCCUGAGGGUUGUAAAGCACUUUCAAUUGGGAGGAAAAGCUCAAGGUUAAUAGCCUUGAGUCUUGACGUUACCUUUAGAAGAAGCACCGGCUAACUCCGUGCCAGCAGCCGCGGUAAUACGGAGGGUGCAAGCGUUAAUCGGAAUUACUGGGCGUAAAGCGCGCGUAGGUGGCCUAGUCAGUCGGAUGUGAAAGCCCCGGGCUCAACCUGGGAAUUGCAUUCGAUACUGCUAAACUAGAGUCUGGUAGAGGGAAGUGGAAUUCCGGGUGUAGCGGUGAAAUGCGUAGAUAUCCGGAGGAACAUCAGUGGCGAAGGCGACUUCCUGGACCAAGACUGACACUGAGGUGCGAAAGCGUGGGUAGCAAACAGGAUUAGAUACCCUGGUAGUCCACGCCGUAAACGAUGAGAACUAGACGUUGGGGAGCUUUGUCUCUUUAGUGUCGUAGCUAACGCGUUAAGUUCUCCGCCUGGGGAGUACGGUCGCAAGAUUAAAACUCAAAGGAAUUGACGGCC